AGGGGGAAGACGACUUCCUCCGACGGUAGAUGGGCCUGCUGGGAUACUCCCGGAUGACUAGGGAAGGCAGUGGGCGGGUUUCGGCGUUCCGGGGAACGCCGGGAAGGGGUCACAUCCAGGCGGUGAUUCCGGUUCCGGUGUAGGCGGUAGUUGAGUUGCCGUGGCAACGCGGUAGCCGGGCGGCUGGUUCCAGCGUCUGGGAUGGCGACGGGGCUGGAGCCGGUCCGGUCCGCCUUUCCCAGCCUAGAUUCAUGGAUUCCAGGUAAAUCAGAGGAACAAGUGUCCUGAACAGGAAUGUGUAGGAAGUGUGGGGGUGCUGAAGCCCAGGCCUAGUUGCAGAAGACCUGGCCUGGGGCACUCACAUUAGAGAAGAGAUUACUUCCCAAAUCACCUCACUUGUACUCAGGCUUAUGUUGUAUGGAAUAGAGAGAAGAGCUCACAGACUUCCCGAAGGCAGAGUCGUGGGCCAGCGACGGGGAGUAAACUGUCCCUUCCCUGGUGUGUAACAGUGCCUUGGAAGCAUAGUUGUCUUUCUUAGUCAUCACACAUUAUUUAUUCAAUGGCAAACAGAGCUGCUGUUAAAGGUUACAAGUAAACCUGGAGCAGGAACAGUACAGAGCCUGUGUUCUUCAAACCUACAAUAAUGUUUUACUAUAUUUGGAAGAAUCUCUCUACCCACCCCUCCGAAGGCAAAUUCACCAUGAAACCUGUGGUUAAAAACCUUACAAAUGUGAGCUCAUUUCUUCUAUAUAACAGCCCUCAAAGAAGAGUCAAGGUUGUUGAGCCUAAGACGACCAUUAUUUGAACACCCAGCAUUAUUUGUGUCUGUACGGUGACCUCACUAUUACAGUCCCUGCUUCAUUCCUGCAAAGAGGGUGUGUUUCUGUGCCUAGCACAUGUGCUGCAGACAUGGGCGGCCCAAGCCAGCGGGAGCAUUCUAGAAGAGUCAUUUUAACAGAGAAGUGGCUGCUUGGACUCCACAGGGGGUUGAACCACCCAACAUCCCUGAGUUAAAAUAGCAUUUGAGACCCACAGUUCCACAGACAUGAGCUGGAACCUGAACCCUUUCUCGGCGUGUUUGGCUAUCAUCCAGUAACUUUAUAGCAUCACCAGUCAUGGAAUUAGCUCGAUUCCCCAGCUCCCCUAAGAAUAGUGAAACGUGUGAGAAACCCAGGCAAUGCCCAGCCUUUUGAGAGCAUUUUUGCCAAUCCCUUGUGCCAAGAUAGAAAUGCCUUUUGGGUGCUCACUCCCUCUAUCUAACCAGACAGCUGGUUUUAUAAAUCCUGCUCUGGCCAUGGGAGUGGCUUCAGUUGUGCUAAUCUCUGACCCACGGCUGGGGGGCUCUGCCUAGAGACAGGAAGGCUGGCCUCAUUAGGGCCCCCUUCCAUUGGUCCAGCUCUCUUCGUCUGGGUGAAAAGAGAAACACGGUGUGCUGUGAAUUGGGUUCGCUGAGUUUAGAACAGACCUUGGGAGAUCCAGGAGGAAGCAGAUUCUUUGAAGCAGCAUUUCUGAGAAGCCUGGAUGCCACAGCAGCCCCCAAUUCUGUCCUGGGAUUUGGACGGCAGAUGUGUGAGGCCUGGGUUCUAGGGCUGACAUCGCUUAGACUUAAAAGUUCCUUCUCUUGGAGAUUUUCCACCCCUCCUAUCUUUCCCUCCUGGGGUUUGGGAAAAUUGUGUUUGUGACAUCUGCAAAAGGUUUUGUCUAUUCCAAGAUAUCUUUCUAUGAGGGCUGCAGGGUUUUAGGAAAGGUAUUUGUACUCCAUUCUGCUCCCAAACAGUUACCCCCCCCCCCCAGAUAAUACCAUCUUUUUCUUGCAUGUACGGCAUAGCAUGUAUUCUUGUACAUGAACUCCCUUGAACCCUUCAUUUAACUCCAGUGGUUCCCAAAUUAUGUUCUCUCCAGCAUUUGUUUAUAACAUCUUUUUUGGCAGACUGGAGCCCUUUGGGUUCCUCUAUGUGUUUUGUUGCCUUCAAAGCACUUUUUUUUUCCCCCUUGCUGAAUCAUAGUAUCAUCAGCAAGCCCUGAAGAAAGUCAAAUAUUCCUGAAUUAUCUUUGCCGCAUGUGUAUCUGGGAGAUACAGAUGUGAUUUGUAGACUCUGUGAAACUAAAAUGGCCACAAUUUCAGUCCAAAAAUCCUUUGGCAGGGGGUAGGGAUCAACAUAGCUUUUCACUUCGGAAGUUUUGUGCUCCUUGGUCCCCAUGCUGCUUUUCUACAGGCCCGAACUCUGCUGUGGGCUUUUAAAAUCAGGCAUGGGCUGCACUAUGCUUUAUUGAAAACUUCAUUUUAUUCAGAGGAAAAGAACCCAAAUCAUAACCUCCUCAAAGGUAAUACUAAGAAAUAAAUGGUAAUCAGGAACCAUGUGAAGACUUGAUUAGAAGUGAUAGAAUGAUUGUUGAUUUUUCCUCAACUGUCUGUUUAAUGAAAUUUUUAUGUUUUGCAUUA